rnacentral:lncRNA from 1 species
CUCCCACCAAGGCCAUUUCCCCGAAAAGUGCCAUUGCAUCACCACAGCCCCUCUGUGCGCAGCCGCCUGCAGUGGGUCUGCAAAAACAAACAGCCGAGGGAGCAGUGUCCAUCUAUCCACCCACACAGCAGCUUCGCUCGCUCCUCUCCCCCCAGCAGCCAUGGCCCCGGCCGGCGUCUCUACCAUCCUCAUCCUCACCUCCCUGCUUCCUGCAGCAGCCGCUCCCCACGAACCCACGCCAGCUCCGAGCCUGGCCAACACAACAGCACCAUGGGUAAGGAGGGUCCGGGCACAGGGGGGGCCUGAAGGGAGCCCCCAUCACCCCACACCUCUCCCACAGCCGCUGGGGAUGUGGUGGUACGUGGCCGGGGCCGCCCAGCUGCCCCAGCACCUCCUGGAGCUGCUGCUCAUCGACCACGGCCACCUGCGCGUGGAGCCCGGUGUGGGGCAGGAGCUGCUCAUCACCCAGCACGUGGCCGUGUGAGAUGCCCCCUCCCCAUCCCCGGUCCCUUCCUCCCACCCCGUUCCCUCUGUGGCGGUUCCAGCAUCCCCGCUCCCUGCAGGGGUGACCAAUGCCUCUCCAACAACUCCACCUCCAUCCUCCUGGCCGCCAACGGCACGGCGCUGCUCAAGCACGCCAAGACGCAGCUCAGCCUGGGGACGGUGACAAACCUCGGCUCCGAGGACACGCUGCUCAUCCAGCACCAGGUGCAGAGGGACAGGACGUAUUCGGCGCUGUAUCUCUACGCCCGCAACCGGACGGUGAGCAGCACGCAGCGGGAGGAGCUGGGCCGGCACGCAGAGAGCCUGGGGCUGAGCCGGGGGGACGUGGUGUACGCGCCGUGGAGGAAGGUGCAUCCUCAUCCCCGCCUCGCUUCAGUGCUUUGGGGUGCUCUGAGGUUGGGGCUCCUCGUGGCCAGGACCCCAGCCCCGGCCCCCCUGGAUAUCAGGAGAAGGCCCCAAACACCACUCCUGCUGCUAUGGGACUGGGCCUGCCCACCCCCGCUCUCUGUAAAGCAGAGCUUUUCCCUUCCAUUUUCCAUCCAGUAUCAGCUCUAUCCCACACACCAGCCCGGCCACACGCCAUCCUCCCACCUCAUCUUCCCCGCAGGUCUCUCAGCUGCACCCAGUGCUCCCCAAUUCUUCCAGUAGAAGCCCUGCCAGGAGCUGGGGGCACAGGGAAGCAUGUGGGCGGACCGACGAUGCCAAAUGGCAGCGGUGGGACAGCAGGAGGGCAUGGGGCUCAUCAAGCUGCACCUGGGGCCAUGCACAGCUCUCAGCCAUCAGAUGUGGAGGGCACAGAGGGGUCUGCACGGUGCAGAGCUUUGGGCGAGAUGAAAAAGGCUCAGAGGAGGACAAGGAACCAGCACAGGUGGAGGCGAUCGGGGCAGAGCAGGUGGAGGAGUGGGACGGCAGCAGAGGAACACAGCGGGGCUGGGCGACCUCCACCAAGGGCAGUUUCAUUUGUCCCUUCUUUGGGGGCCGUUCUGAAGGAGCUGUGCCAACCGGGAGAAACGGAAAGAAGGGAAGAGGAGGAGGAUGGAGGAGCACCGGGCACGGCCCCGCCGAGCACCGCAGCGGGAGGGCACGCGGGCAGCCUGCAGCAAUAAACGCUCGGGUACCGCCAGCUGCUGAGCGGGACCUGCAAAAAGGAAGCGAGCCCCCGGUUUGCUUCGUGCCAUCGCCCCAGCGCUCGGGAUCAGCCGCCCUGCAGCGAGCCGGGCUGCCGUGCCAGCGGGGGGGGGAGGUGGGCACCGCCGGGCACCGCCGGGCACGGGGCUCGCUCGGCCCGCACAGGGCAGUGGUGCUGGGCGGCCAGGAGAGGGCAAUCGGCGCCCGCUCGUGAGGCUG